GAUAUUAACUUGCUAAUAUUGUCAGCUAAGUGGCGCACGGGUGAGUAAUAUAUAGUUAAUCUGCCCCAAAGAAGAGAAUAAUUGUUGGAAACGACUUGUAACGCUCUAUAUGCCUUUAUUACAUAAGUAAGCAAGGGAAACAUUUAUGGCUUUGGGAUGAGACUGUACGGUAUCAGCUAGUUGGUGAGGUAAUGGCUCACCAAGGCAAUGACAUCUAACUGGUUUGAGAGGAUGAUCAGUCACACUGGAACUGAGACACGGUCCAGACUCCUACGGGAGGCAGCAGUGGGGAAUAUUGCACAAUGGAGGAAACUCUGAUGCAGCAACGCCGCGUGGAGGAUGACACAUUUCGGUGCGUAAACUCCUUUUAUAUGAGAAGAUAAUGACGGUAUCAUAUGAAUAAGCACCGGCUAACUCCGUGCCAGCAGCCGCGGUGAUACGGGGGGUGCAAGCGUUACUCGGAAUCACUGGGCGUAAAGAGCAUGUAGGCUGGUCUGUAAGUUGGAAGUGAAAUCCUAUGGCUUAACCAUAGAACUGCUUCCAAAACUGCAGACCUAGAAUAUGGUAGAGGGUAGAUGGAAUUUCUGGUGUAAGGUAAAAUCCGUAGAGAUCAGAAGGAAUACCGAUUGCGAAGGCGAUCUACUGGAACAUUAUUGACGCUGAGAUGCGAAAGCGUG
rnacentral:rRNA from 1 species